AGUAAGGAAUAUUGGACAAUGGGCUAACGCCUGAUCCAGCAAUACCGCGUGAGUGAUAAAGGCUUUAGGGUUGUAAAGCUCUUUCAGUAGGGAAGAUAAUGACGGUACCUACAGAAGAAGCACCGGCUAACUCCGUGCCAGCAGCCGCGGUAAUACGGAGGGUGCUAGCGUUAUUCGGAUUUACUGGGCGUAAAGAGCAUGUAGGUGGCUUAAUAAGUUGGAAGUGAAAUACUAAGGCUCAACCUUAGAACUGCUUUCAAAACUGUUAAGCUAGAGGGCAGUAGAGGGCAGUGGAAUUCCUAGUGUAGGAGUGAUAUCCGUAGAUAUUAGGAGGAACACCAGUGGCGAAGGCGACUGCCUGGGCUGUUUCUAACACUGAGAUGCGAAAGCAUGGGGAGCAAA
rnacentral:rRNA from 1 species